GACGAACGCUGGCGGCGUGCUUAACACAUGCAAGUCGAACGAUGAUGCUGGAGCUUGCUCCAGUUGAUUAGUGGCGAACGGGUGAGUAACACGUGAGCAAUCUGCCCUUGACUCUGGGAUAACUGCGGGAAACUGUAGCUAAUACCGGAUACGACCCUCGGCGGCAUCGCCAGGGGGUGGAAAGAAUUUCGGUCAAGGAUGGACUCGCGGCCUAUCAGCUAGUUGGUGAGGUAACGGCUCACCAAGGCGACGACGGGUAGCCGGCCUGAGAGGGCGACCGGCCACACUGGGACUGAGACACGGCCCAGACUCCUACGGGAGGCAGCAGUGGGGAAUAUUGCGCAAUGGGCGAAAGCCUGACGCAGCAACGCCGCGUGCGGGAUGACGGCCUUCGGGUUGUAAACCGCUUUCAGCAGGGAAGAAGCCGCAAGGUGACGGUACCUGCAGAAGAAGCACCGGCUAACUACGUGCCAGCCGCCGCUGUAA
rnacentral:rRNA from 1 species